rnacentral:lncRNA from 1 species
UUGGGAAACAUACAAGGACAACCUUCUCACACAAGAGAAACGUCUUCAAUGUCUUCAUGGGUCCUCCUUGUUCUAAUGUUUGUGUUGGCGUUGGUGACAUUGGUCCCUAUCGAUGCCGAAAAGAAAGCCCCUUAGAACAUUGCCUAAGGCGAAUCAUUAAUCCGCCUUUGCUGCCACCAUCAUCACCACCUGCGACUAAAAUAUAUCAUUCAUGGUAUGAUAUUGAUCGCUAUAUUUGUAAUUGCAACAUUAUGUGCAGUUAAGGGGGAAAUUUCCUACUAAUUACUUGAAGGCACUUUGUAAUAUCUUUGGUAACAAUGAUCAAAAGGUGGAGCAUUACCUUAAGGGCAGAAUUUUCAUCCAAGAUUUUAAAGGGCUUGUAGCUGGUCGUACUUGUGCCACCAUCUGAAGGGGAAAAAGUGAUAUUCUUAG